rnacentral:rRNA from 1 species
UACGUAGGUGACAAGCGUUGUCCGGAUUUACUGGGCGUAAAGAGCGCGCAGGCGGUCGUUCAAGUCGAGUGUGAAAGCCCCCGGCUCAACUGGGGAGGGUCAUUCGAUACUGAUCGACUCGAAGGCAGGAGAGGGAAGUGGAAUUCCCGGUGUAGUGGUGAAAUGCGUAGAUAUCGGGAGGAACACCGGUGGCGAAGGCGGGUCUCUGGGCCGAUACUGACGCUGAGGAGCGAAAGCGUGGGGAGCGAACAGG